AAACCGUUCAGGGGUAAACCUGAGAAACCCAAAAGAUCGAAUGGGGAGAUUCAUCGUCAGCUCAUUUUGUAUAUAUAUAAGUUAUGAUAUGGGUUACUACUUGUAGUAUUGCUUGUACAUUCUUGUAUAUUUAAUUGCAGAAUGUUGUCGGCGUGCACUUCUCCCCUAGUAGGACGUCGCGACCCGUUGAGUGUCGGUCUACGGCCCAAGUGGUAGUCUUUAAUUUAUUUGAAUUGAAGGCCCUUGGUGUUUCCUGGCUGACUACUCGGCGGUAUUCGUAUGGUAUUAAGCCGCAUUUUAUGCGUUUAUAUCCGUCGCAAGCGCGGUCAAUUUUUAGUAGUAUGGACCUAGUGCCGUCGCUAUAAUUGAUCAGCUGUUGGUUGUACGGUAUUCUAAAACUGGCUUGAAAAUAAAAUACCGGUCAGCGAUGCUACUGCUUUGGGUACUUUCAGGA
rnacentral:rRNA from 1 species